rnacentral:tRNA from 1 species
AAGGGUAUACCUCAGUGGUAGAGUGCAUGUCUAGCAUGUAUGAGGUCCUGGGUUCAAUUCCCAGUACCUCCA